rnacentral:rRNA from 1 species
GAUGAACGCUAGCUACAGGCUUAACACAUGCAAGUCGAGGGGCAGCAUGGUCUUAGCUUGCUAAGGCCGAUGGCGACCGGCGCACGGGUGAGUAACACGUAUCCAACCUGCCGUCUACUCUUGGACAGCCUUCUGAAAGGAAGAUUAAUACAAGAUGGCAUCAUGAGUCCACAUGUUCACAUGAUUAAAGGUAUUCCGGUAGACGAUGGGGAUGCGUUCCAUUAGAUAGUAGGCGGGGUAACGGCCCACCUAGUCUUCGAUGGAUAGGGGUUCCGAGAGGAAGGUACCCCACAUUGGAACUGAGACACGGUCCAAACUCCUACGGGAGGCAGCAAUGAGGAAUAUUGGUCCAUGGGCGAGAGCCUGAACCAGCCAAGUAGCGUAAAGGAUGGCUGCCCUAUGGGUUGUAAACUUCUUUUAUAAAGGAAUAAAGUCGGGUAUGCAUACCCGUUUGCAUGUACUUUAUGAAUAAGGAUCGGCUAACUCCGUGCCAGCCGCCGCCGUAA